AUUGAACGCUGGCGGCAGGCCUAACACAUGCAAGGCGAGCGGAGCGGCGGACGGGUGAGUAAUGCCUAGGAGUCUGCCUGGUAGUGGGGGAGAACGUCCGGAAACGGGAGCUAAUACCGCAUACUCUCAGAUGAGACUAGGUCGGAUUAGCUAGUUGGUGGGGUAAAGGCCGACCAAGGCGACGAUCGGUAACUGGUCUGAGAGGAUGAUCAGUCACACUGGAACUGAGACACGGUCCAGACUCCUAAGGGAGGCAGCAGUGGGGAAGAUUAGACAAUGGGCGAAAGCCUGAUCCAGCCAUGCCGCGUGUGUGAAGAAGGUCUUCGGAUUGUAAAGCACUUGAAGUUGGGAGGCGUUACCAACAGAAUAAGCACCGGCUAACUUCGUGCCAGCAGCCGCGGUAAUAC
rnacentral:rRNA from 1 species